GUUUAGAUAGCUCAGUUGGUAGAGCAAAGGACUGAAAAUCCUUGGGUCAACGGUUCGAGUCCGUUUCUAGACA
rfam:Nannochloropsis gaditana mitochondrion, complete genome.